AGUCGAACGGGAAUUACUUUAUUGAAACUUCGGUCGAUAUGAUUUAAUUCUAGUGGCGGACGGGUGAGUAACGCGUGGGUAACCUGCCUUAUACAGGGGGAUAACAGUCAGAAAUGACUGCUAAUACCGCAUAAGCGCACAGAGCUGCAUGGCUCGGUGUGAAAAACUCCGGUGGUAUAAGAUGGACCCGCGUUGGAUUAGCUAGUUGGUGAGGUAACGGCCCACCAAGGCGACGAUCCAUAGCCGGCCUGAGAGGGUGAACGGCCACAUUGGGACUGAGACACGGCCCAGACUCCUACGGGAGGCAGCAGUGGGGAAUAUUGCACAAUGGGGGAAACCCUGAUGCAGCGACGCCGCGUGAAGGAAGAAGUAUCUCGGUAUGUAAACUUCUAUCAGCAGGGAAGAAAAUGACGGUACCUGACUAAGAAGCCCCGGCUAACUACGUGCCAGCAGCCGCGGUAAUACGUAGGGGGCAAGCGUUAUCCGGAUUUACUGGGUGUAAAGGGAGCGUAGACGGUGUGGCAAGUCUGAUGUGAAAGGCAUGGGCUCAACCUGUGGACUGCAUUGGAAACUGUCAUACUUGAGUGCCGGAGGGGUAAGCGGAAUUCCUAGUGUAGCGGUGAAAUGCGUAGAUAUUAGGAGGACACCAGUGGCGAAGGCGGCUUACUGGACGGUAACUGACGUUGAGGCU
rnacentral:rRNA from 1 species